rnacentral:antisense_RNA from 1 species
AACGAAAUAAAUUUGAAUUAAAAUUUUCACAGUCUAGUGAUUACAUGCAAUAUAUAUUUCUAUGAAUAGAAAAAAUGUGAGGAAAAAAUAAGAUAGAAUAAAAGGUGAUUAUUAAGGAAAUAAAUUCAUAGGAUUAGUGAUAUUGACAAUUUUUUGGAAUAAUGAGGAGUAACGUUUGAGUUACUGAAUUAUUGUUACUACUAACUAAAAAUAUUGAAGCUAAAAGUGAUGAAUAGUGGUUGAAAAGUUAAAAUUGAAUUUUGAAAUCUAUGAUAACAUUUAAGACCUAAUUCUUUUUCUAUUCUAUUUUCGAAAGCAUAAAGUGUCUAAAAAAUUAACCAAAAUUUAAAAGCUGAAGAUUUAUAAGACAAUACAAUAGUUUGAAAAACUAAAUAGAGUUUUCAAGAACUUUGUUCUCAUCAGGAACUUGGAAUUCAUUUCUCUCAUCCUCCUGGUUUUCCCCAAGAUCUUGUUCAAAGUUAUUAGGAUCUUGAAUAUUAUCAGCAUUUAAUUCAACGUCGUUAUCAGUCUUAAUAUCUCCAUUUUCAUCAUCAUUUAAAUUCAAGGAAUUUCCAAUUUCAGGGACAUUUUUAUUAACCACUGUGCAGACGUAUAUAUAGUGGUAUAAGUCUGGUCUGGUUGAAGUUGUAAUAUUCACAUUUUCUUGUGAGUUAGAAUCCUCGUCAUUGUAAUUUUUAAGUUUAUAAAUCUGGUCAUUUGCAGGUUUUUUAAUUGGAAUUGUGGUAACUUCCCACUCUUUCAUAGAUUUCAAG